rnacentral:rRNA from 1 species
GAUGAACGCUAGCGGCAGGCUUAAUACAUGCAAGCCGAGGGGCAGCAGGUCUGUAGCAAUAUAGAUGCUGGCGACCGGCAAACGGGUGCGGAACACGUACACAACCUUCCUUCGAGCGGGGAAAAGCCCGGGGAAACCCGGAUUAAUACCCAAUAGUAUGCAGAAGAGGCAUCUCCUUACUCUUAAAGAUUUAUCACUUGAAGGUGGGUGUGCGGCUGAUUAGCUAGUUGGCGGGGUAACGGCCCACCAAGGCAACGAUCAGUAACUGGUGUGAGAGCACGACCAGUCACACGGGCACUGAGACACGGGCCCGACUCCUACGGGAGGCAGCAGUAAGGAAUAUUGGUCAAUGGACGAAAGUCUGAACCAGCCAUGCCGCGUGGAGGAUGAAGGUCCUCUGGAUUGUAAACUUCUUUUAUCUGGGACGAAAAAAGGGAAUUCUUUUCCGACUGACGGUACCAGAUGAAUAAGCACCGGCUAACUCCGUGCCAGCCGCCGCGGUAAAAC